ACCUUUGCAUUGAAUUUUGGUGUUGCUCACUUCACACGGCUUCGAAGUGAACAAUGAAAAGGGAAUCAGGUGAAAGUCCUGAACAGACCCGCUGCUGUAAGCUCCGCUUACGUGCUGAACAAAGACCUCACUUGCCACUGUCCCCCGAAGGGAUGGGAAGGCGUUCAGACACGGGAGUAAGUCAGAAGACCUGCCAAAGAUUCAUACAACAG
rnacentral:ncRNA from 2 species